CAGACUGAUUUUUUGCUGGGU
rnacentral:misc_RNA from 1 species